rnacentral:misc_RNA from 1 species
GAAAUGCGAUAAGUAAUGUGAAUUGCAGAAUUUAGUGAAUCAUCGAAUCUUUGAACGCACAUUGCACCCCUCGGUAAUCCUUGGGGUAUACCUGUUCGAGCGCCGUUUGUGUCUAAGGCCUUGCCUUGCGUUGAGCGGGCCCCGCGAGGGGCGGUUCGAAACACAUCGGCGCCCGUCGUGGAACCGAAACGCAGCGAAAUGCGCAGCGGGACCGCGGCGGGCGGCCAGUCUCCGAAAACAUGGCCUCGGAUCAGGUAGGGAUACCCGCUGAACUUAA